rnacentral:lncRNA from 1 species
AAGCAUUCUAAUCAGGAAGCCAAGAGCUAAUCAGGCAGAUGAGCGACGUUUGUAUCCUAACGAAGUGGGGAUGGCCAUGCAUUAUUAAUAAACCGAGGGCUGGUGGCAUGGCGUGUCUAUUAAUAGCACAAGCUAGAUGGACCCCAGUCGUGUCAUGAUGAAUGCAAAGCUCAGCACCUUUGGAAAGGGAACCUGUGUGUGGGAGAGGGGCUGGCACUGAAGUUAGCUGAACUGGUUCACAAGAUCUUUUGGUCAGACUUCCAGAUUUGACAGGGUAGGGAUGUGUGCAUGUGGGAGCACAGUGGGUUGGAAGAGCAUCAGGCCACUGAGACCAAGUGCAGCCUUGUUUCUGGAGAAACCUGCCUUUGUCUUUGUGUUGUGAGGCAGGCUGGGACUGCAGCCUAGAUCCUACUUUGCAAAUCUGAGCAGUGGUUUCCAAGGGCACGUGGAGGGAUCAGUGCAAAUGCGUGCAGGCCCAUACUUAGGAAGGUAACAAUUAGGAGAUGUCCCAUUUGGGGAACUAGAGGAACUAUGGGGUAGGAUACUAAUGAGAGGCCCAUCAGCCCAAAAUGGCAGCUCCCUGAGAGAAGGCCAGACUCCAGAGGGACUUCCAGCACUCUCUACUGGAGUAGACAUGGAUGGCUUCUCCAGGAUCAACAUUAGAACAGUAUCAAGGAAUGUAAGAUUAUAGGUGAGUAUGAAGUGUGUUUUAAGGUACAAGGUUUUCCAGGCUGUUCCUUUUCUUUGUUUAGGAAUGAAGUUAAAAUAAAUGAAUUCACUGCUUGAAAGUGAUGGUGUUACCCUGCAGGACAAUCAGUCUAGAGCCUGAUCUGACAAGAAGGUGGGUCUGAGCCUGCUGACAGAAUACCUUUUCAUUUGCUUUGGAGUAAACGUUCCAGUAGUGUGAUGGUCACAGAGUGGGGACAGCCUGGAGACUUCCCAAGCUUGCAGAGCUUGUUGAAAGGCAGAAGAUUGGUGCUGAUGCUGAGCCGCCUGAGGAUGCUGCAAUUCUAUAGGACAGUCCUUCCUGGAGGCUUGGCUAUGGAACAAAUCAGACGCGCACAUCCCCUCUGAACUCUGAGUGGGGUCCGGGACAGUGAGCGGCCAUCUUGAGUGUCUGCUGUAUCCAGAAACUAUGGAAGUGGAAAAUACCUGACCGUCUUGACAGUUCUACAAGUGCAAUCCCUAACAUUGUCUAUCACGCCUGCACAGACACGUGUCUAUUGUAGAAUCACAAAGGAGCCAGCCACAGCCCUUUCAGUUCCAAAAGGCUGACCACCCGGAGCUUUCUUCUUAUAGCUGGUCGAGCUAGCAGCCCUUUGGCUCACACCUUCUCACUUAUGAGUGGUGAGCUAAGAUGUGUUUAAACUGCAGUAACAUUUACUCCCACCGGAACAGCAGAGAAGGAAGUCGCACGCAGCUGUUGGGGAGGAGGGUCGAAAACAGGAAGAUGGCGUUUUCUCCCAGUACUUUCAUGGUUGAUGAAUGAGAUCUGGGUUUCAGAGGAUAAAAAUCUCAAUUCUGAGGAAUUGGUAUUGCAUGGAUAUUUCUCAUGAAUAAUUCAAAUACUGACCUCAGACCUGUGUAUAUGGACGUACAAACACUAAGGGAGCUAAAAAUAAAACAAAGAAGCAGAGAAAGAAAAGGCGUGUUAACCGCGGCGAUCCAGCAUCAGUGUUCGUGAUGGUUAACUGAAGGGCCCGGAUAGCUGAUAAACAUGGUCUCUGGGUCCAUCUGGAGAUGAGCAGUGACCAAAUCACAGCACAGAGAAGAUCUGCCUUCCGGAGGGCACCGCCCAAUCUGUUGAACGGGGCUGUGAGGGUAAAUUCUCUGUCUAAUCUCCUGCUCUUAGGCAAUGAGCUCCUGGCUGUUGUUGUUGUUGUUAUUAUUAUUAUUACUCCAUGGCAUAAGUCAGAGCCCACUACCCUUGCCUGGGCAGAGCAGCAUUGAUCCCG